rnacentral:pre_miRNA from 11 species
AAUCUAGUGGAAUCACUUCCGCACAAACUAGAUGAAUGAAACCAGUGUGCGGAAAUGCUUCUGCUACAUU